GUGCAUAUGAUGGAAAAAAAAAUUGUAAGUCUCCUGAGACCUGUGAUGUCUUCAAAGGAACCACUGAUGCAC